CCUACGGGCGGCAGCAGUGGGGAAUAUUGCACAAUGGGGGAAACCCUGAUGCAGCGACGCCGCGUGAGUGAAGAAGUAAUUCGUUAUGUAAAGCUCUAUCAGCAGGGAAGAAAAUGACGGUACCUGAGUAAGAAGCCCCGGCUAACUACGUGCCAGCAGCCGCGGUAAUACGUAGGGGGCAAGCGUUAUCCGGAUUUAUUGGGUGGAAAGGGAGCGUAGACGGCAGUGCAAGUCUGGAGGGAAAGGCGGGGGCUCAACCCCCGGACUGCUCUGGAAACUGUACGGCUGGAGUGCAGGAGAGGUAAGUGGAAUUCCUAGUGUAGCGGUGAAAUGCGUAGAUAUUAGGAGGAACACCAGUGGCGAAGGCGGCUUACUGGACUGUAACUGACGUUGAGGCUCGAAAGCGUGGGGAGCAAACAGGAUUAGAUACCCCAGUAGUC
rnacentral:rRNA from 1 species